UCCCUGAAAAGACUAAAAGCAGUGGCCUCUGUGCUCUGGGAAGGCUGUAGAAGGCUGUAGCUCAGCAGUGGGAGAAUUCAUACCAGGCUGUUGAAUGUGUACCUCACCUAUUUGCAACACAGAAACUCCCUAAAUUUGCCUUUCCAGACUUUAUAGUGUACUGAGAGUCUUGGACUCCAUGUUCCCUGAUGGUUACCAAAGUGAGACUGCCUGAAGAGGGGAGCAUGCUGGCAGAGCCACGCCUCACCUGAGUGACUUGAAGAAGCUAGAGAGUCAUGGAGCUGAGAUGAGUUCCUUAGGCUAGACAACAAACACUACAAAUGCCAAGCCAUAUGCAAUAUCACUAUACAUAAUACGUAAAUUGAAAAAAACAGAUGUUGCAAAGCAAGCUGUCAGUAUGGUAGAACCAACUUAUUGUUUUUGCAGCUAUUAAUCAACCUGCUUCUGUAUAUUCAUUCCAACAAAUGUGCCAGACACUGAGUUCACCUGGGAGGCCUGUGGUAGAGCUGGGGCUGACAGCUCUCCUGGAUUCGCCGGUGCCUGAAAGACAACGAUCAUAUUGUCUGGUGUUCUGCAUCAUGCAGUGGGUGUUAAAUUUUGUGUGGUUUCAUCUAACCAAGUGCUGGAAGUGCUUUCUAACCACAUAGCUACAAGGUGAAGGAACUAAGGAAAGAGCAGAAUUGUUGACUUCAUCUUUUUCACAGAGACUACACAACCUACUGAAAUGUUGUCAUUUCUUCUCUCAUUAUGGUACUGAGAGCUCAGAUCCAUUUUUAUGCAAUGGCACAAAGCAGUUUGCUGCUUAAGUAUAUCUUGCAGAAGCUGAGGAACAUCUACGCCACAGAUGAAUUGUACCCAUGAUAUUAAGAGGGAAGAUGACAUAGAUCUUUUAAAAUUCCCAAAAUUUGACAAAUGACCUUGAGUAAUUGUGAUAUAAUUUUGGGUCAGUGUGCUUUGACUGGUGGUCAGUCAAAAUUCAUCAUCCAGAGAACCUUUGUUUUCACAGUUGUAAUAUUUUUUUUUUGUGUUCAUGCUUAUAGCAGGUUGUAGCUAAAGAGCAGAAAACCUCAUAAAAUGUCUGCAUUAGGAAAUCAAAGGGCUUUUCCUUUCUGUCUUUCCUCCCAAAUAACAUCUCCUGUUUUCAACAUUGAAAGGUCGUCUUUAUUAGAGGAAAUUUACAAGAGACUAGAGUGGUAUAAUUAUGCCUUGUGGAUGCUUUUUAAUCUUGCAUGAAUGCCUGUAGAAUUCUAGUGUCCACAUGGGGAGUUAUACCAUCAGAACUAUAGGGGCAUAAUUAUGCAGGUGAAUUCUGUAUUGAGACAAAUGCUUUAUGAAAAGGAAUUUUAUUUUGGCUCUUUACUUUUCAGCUUAUUCAUGUUCUGAACUAAAAGGCAGUGAUCAAAUCAAUGAAAAUAAUGAAAAUUCAAUGGUUACCAUGGGCUGG
rnacentral:lncRNA from 1 species